UCCCAAUUGACCCCUUUUUCGUUGUUAUUUGUACCUAAGACGUCCCCAAUAUCCCCAAAAACAACAGAUUUUUACAUGUAUUUUUAUUUAAUCAAAUACAUUAAAACCAAUAACAACUGAGACUUACCUUUAAUAUAUAUGCUGGUUCAAACACUAAAUAACGUUUAUAAAUCAUAGUCGUCUUCUAUUAUUAUCAAAUAAAUAAAAGAGAGCAAAGUUUCUAGCACUAAAAUAAUUACCACCACAGGAAGUUAAUUUGAAACGCGAUUUUUUAUAAGUUAGCAGCUAUUAUCAUGCAUAUUCAGAGUUGUUUUGUGAACUUUCAACAUUCUACUAUUAAACUACAAAAAAUGGAAGAUUUUGCAACGAAUAUAAAACUUAUAUUGAGCGUCGAAAGAUUUUCCCGGUUUUUUCCCGAUUCGCCUCUCAAUCCCUAAUCGCCCCAUUUUACCGGUACAUAAUGUGAAAUUUUUUUCAUCUGUUGAAUGAAGAUAUUUCAUUGGAAUUUAUAAGGCUGUUUAUUGAAAAGUAAUGUUGUAAAUAGUUAGUCGUCAAUCGAACGGCAGAUACUGUAUUUUUCGUUACAAGCCCGAAUCAAGUAGCUAUACAGAGUUAGAGGAUUCCCUGAGAACACAUUUCGUUUAUACACAUUGGCUUUACUAAUAAUAAGAUGGCUAGAUGUAAUGUGAAACUUAUAACUAUUGAAUAAAAUGGGUUUAUUUGAAAAAGCUGACAAUAUUAAAUUGAUAUAAGGCUUGAUGACAAAUGCAAAGAAUACCUUUCAUGAAAUUUAAAAUAUGGCUGUAUACAAAUAGCUUGAUAAUGAUUUAAAAAAAACUCAUUUAAAUUUAAAAUAAGUUGCGGUGGUCUAGUAAACAAACACAUUAGGUAAAGGGCAACAUUUCAGAUGAGUAUUCAAAAAUAUAUCAAUUGAAUAUGUUUUAAAUAAUUGAUCCUGCAAUAAUCAAAGAGCAAAUAAAUAAUUAUAAUAUGCACUAUUAUUUGUCUUUGUUUUCAUAUCACUUGUUUGUUUUAGGCACUUUCAUUGUCUGGUGACUGCUGCUAGAGUUUAUUUUACAAUUUUUGCACAAAGUGUGCAGUGCAUUUGCUAUAUCAUAUUUGACGAAAAUUGUUUACAGAUAACAGUAGAAUGAGACGGAUUAUAAUACAUAAUUUCUUUGAAAACAAGAUAGAUAUAGUUUGUUCCGGGUUCAUGCAAAAUUAGUCAAAAUCAAAAUCAAAGUUUGUUAGGUAGUUUGUUCAUUUUCAUUUUGUUCAUUUCCUAUUUUGAAACAUGAUGUUAGCGUUAGAAAAAUGUAAAUACAUCUGUAGGAUUGUUAUCUUUAGAAUGUAUACAAUUCAGAAAAAUGAUGAAAAAAUGUUUUUACAAUCACACAUUUUAUCAGCUCUAUACAUUGGCUUAGUUUUUUGUUAAUAUAACUCACAAUGUCUAGGUUAUUUUACAUUUUGUUCCACGACAAUAGUAAUCACAAUAUUAAUACUAAAAUAGAUUCUUAUCUACUUUAAAAUAAACAAAAUAUUAAACUA